rnacentral:rRNA from 1 species
GACGAACGCUGGCGGCGUGCUUAACACAUGCAAGUCGAACGGAAAGGCCCUGCUUUUGUGGGGUGCUCGAGUGGCGAACGGGUGAGUAACACGUGAGUAACCUGCCCUUGACUUUGGGAUAACUUCAGGAAACUGGGGCUAAUACCGGAUAGGAGCUCCUGCUGCAUGGUGGGGGUGGGAAAGAUUCGGCGGUUGGGGAUGGACUCGCGGCUUAUCAGCUUGUUGGUGGGGUAGUGGCUUACCAAGGCUUUGACGGGUAGCCGGCCUGAGAGGGUGACCGGCCACAUUGGGACUGAGAUACGGCCCAGACUCCUACGGGAGGCAGCAGUGGGGAAUAUUGCACAAUGGGCGGAAGCCUGAUGCAGCAACGCCGCGUGCGGGAUGACGGCCUUCGGGUUGUAAACCGCUUUCGCCUGUGACGAAGCGUGAGUGACGGUAAUGGGUAAAGAAGCACCGGCUAACUACGUG